rnacentral:tRNA from 1 species
GCAUUGGUGGUCCAGUGGUAGAACUCUCGAUUUCUGUGCAAGAGACCCAGGUUAGACUCCUGGCCAAGGCA